rnacentral:rRNA from 1 species
AAAUUGAAGAGUUUGAUCAUGGCUCAGAUUGAACGCUGGCGGCAGGCCUAACACAUGCAAGUCGAGCGGUAGCACAGAGAGCUUGCUCUCGGGUGACGAGCGGCGGACGGGUGAGUAAUGUCUGGGAAACUGCCUGAUGGAGGGGGAUAACUACUGGAAACGGUAGCUAAUACCGCAUAACGUCGCAAGACCAAAGUGGGGGACCUUCGGGC